rnacentral:rRNA from 1 species
CCUGGCUGAGGACGAACGCUAGCGGCAGGCUUAACACAUGCAAGUCGAGGGGUAGAAGAGGCUUGCUUCUUUGAGACCGGCGCACGGGUGCGUAACGCGUAUGCAAUCUACCUUUCACAAAGGGAUAGCCCAGAGAAAUUUGGAUUAAUACCUUAUAGCAUAGCAAUCUCGCAUGAGACCACUAUUAAAGAUUUAUCGGUGAAAGAUGAGCAUGCGUCCCAUUAGCUAGUUGGUAUGGUAACGGCAUACCAAGGCUACGAUGGGUAGGGGUCCUGAGAGGGAGAUCCCCCACACUGGUACUGAGACACGGACCAGACUCCUACGGGAGGCAGCAGUGAGGAAUAUUGGACAAUGGGCGCAAGCCUGAUCCAGCCAUGCCGCGUGCAGGAUGACGGUCCUAUGGAUUGUAAACUGCUUUUAUACAGGAAGAAACACUCCCUCGUGAGGGAGCUUGACGGUACUGUAAGAAUAAGGAUCGGCUAACUCCGUGCCAGCAGCCGCGGUAAUACGGAGGAUCCAAGCGUUAUCCAGAAUCAUUGGGUUUAAAGGGUCCGUAGGCGGUCAGGUAAGUCAGUGGUGAAAGCCCAUCGCUCAACGGUGGAACGGCCAUUGAUACUGUCUGACUUGAAUUAUUAGGAAGUAACUAGAAUAUGUAGUGUAGCGGUGAAAUGCUUAGAGAUUACAUGGAAUACCAAUUGCGAAGGCAGGUUACUACUAAUAUAUUGACGCUGAUGGACGAAAGCGUGGGUAGCGAACAGGAUUAGAUACCCUGGUAGUCCACGCCGUAAACGAUGGGUACUAGCUGUUGGGAGCAAUCUCAGUGGCUAAGCGAAAGUGAUAAGUAUCCCACCUGGGGAGUACGAACGCAAGUUUGAAACUCAAAGGAAUUGACGGGGGCCCGCACAAGCGGUGGAGCAUGUGGUUUAAUUCGAUGAUACGCGAGGAACCUUACCAAGGCUUAAAUGUAGAUUGACCGGUUUGGAAACAGAUCUUUCGCAAGACAAUUUACAAGGUGCUGCAUGGUUGUCGUCAGCUCGUGCCGUGAGGUGUCAGGUUAAGUCCUAUAACGAGCGCAACCCCUGUUGUUAGUUGCCAGCGAGUCAUGUCGGGAACUCUAACGAGACUGCCAGUGCAAACUGUGAGGAAGGUGGGGAUGACGUCAAAUCAUCACGGCCCUUACGCCUUGGGCUACACACGUGCUACAAUGGCCGGUACAGAGAGCAGCCACUGGGCGACCAGGAGCGAAUCUAUAAAACCGGUCACAGUUCGGAUCGGAGUCUGCAACUCGAC